rnacentral:tRNA from 1 species
UGGGGCGUAGGCAAGCGGUAAGCCACGGGUCUUUGGAACCCGCAUGCGGUGGUUCGAAUCCACCCGCCCCAG